UACGAGGGGGGCAAGCGUUGUUCGGAAUUAUUGGGCGUAAAGGGUGCGUAGGCGGUCUGAUAAGUCAUCUGUGAAAUCUAUGGGCUCAACCCAUAGUCUGCAGGCGAAACUGUCGGGCUUGAGUAUGGGAGAGGUGAGUGGAAUUUCCGGUGUAGCGGUGAAAUGCGCAGAUAUCGGGAGGAACACCGGUGGCGAAGGCGGUUCUCUGGGCCUGUACUGACGCUGAGGAGCGAAAGCGUGGGGAGCGAACAGG
rnacentral:rRNA from 1 species